CUUGAAAUGCUCCAGUGCUUCUGUAGAAAACCAGCAAUGCCUCACUCCUCACUCCAGCAGGAUGCUUUACUUUCCCUGUGAAAAUGUACUAAUUAUGUUGUUGUUGCUGGGGGCGAUGGCUCACGCCUGUAAUCCCAGGACUUUGGGAGGCUGAGAUGAAGAAAUGGAGAACCAGAGAAGUUGCAUGACUUACACAAAGUCACAUAGUUGAUAAGUAUUAGGAGCAGAUUUGGAUCACAG